CCCACUGCCUUGGAGCAGACACUCGCCUUCGGAUGCUGGAUUUUGGGGGAAGGAGAAAAGAGAAAAAAACAAAGCAGCACGCCUGAGAGGUCACCCAUAGUUUUCCUCUGAUGCACGUUGGGAGCCCUUAAGGAGGAUGUCUGCUCUCCCCACAACAUCUCCAAGCACCUUGGGAAGAAGUGGCAAUACCGAGAAAUACAGAGGAGCAGUAAGGAAAUAUUUCCAUCUCUUCUGAGUCCUGAUUGCCCUCUGGAUGGGAUUCUGGUGGCACGGGAUAAUCAGCACACCGGGGAAAAUGUGGGAAAACUCCACUUGCUUCCAUGGAGGCACAUUCGGAUUUGGACCUCUGAUUUCAGCUAAAGCCCAGAUUGCAGGAACAGAUGCAUUCCUGAGCAGCAAAGUUCGUGUGUUCAAUACGGCACAGGAAAGUAAAAUAAAUUCAGAAGAAAAAAAAAAGAGAGAGAGAAAAACAAAAGAAACUCAUAAAAUGUAGAUGUUGUAUCAGAAGAAUUAGUUUGGAGUAGAUUUCUUUGCAGAGUUUUCCAGUAGGUAUCAACACUCAUUAAUGGAAAAAAUAAUGUCUGGUUUGAUUGGAAAGUGUUCUUUGGUCGUAGAAGGAAUUUUGGCUUGCCUGGGGCUGACUCCACUACUGGUAGGUAAUGUUUAUAGUGGAAAGACUUCCCCAGGCAGCCCCUGGGGAGAGCCUGUGUUUGCUUUCAAAAGGAAAGGUUUUCAGGUGCAGCACAGAAGUCGGAAAGCAAGGCAGUUCAGCAAAUAGAUUUUUAAUCCAAUUUAAGACUGUGCCGGGUCGGGCAGGACGGUGCCUCCACUCACACCCCAAAGCCAGGCUUCCAGAAGGGCUCGGCACUUGUGGAUGUGUCCGAGCGUUGGUCACCUCUCUGCAGCCGUGACCUGGAGGUCUGCGGGCAGACACAGCCCUUGGCUGAGUCAGGACAAGUGGCAUUUGUGCUGGGAAAGCUGAGCAGCAGCUCCGCGUGUGAAAUAAACUACAGUCGAUACCGUGGUCCCAAUAAGAACAUUCCAGUGGUAACUGUGCCUUGGAGGGCAACGCACCGCUAGUUAAUGGUGCUCAGUUUGGAGAUAUUUAGAAGUCUUCUGAGUGCUUGGGAUCAUUUCCAAAUAUUAAGAGUAUACAUCACACGAUGAGCCAGGGAGAUCUGAACCGAAGUAUGGCACCUCCACCUUCCAACGAUAAAAAGCAGGGCUUUCUGAGCAAGUAGGUUCCCUACCGGUGGCUCUUAGGUCCUCUGGGGAUGGGGGACAGAAAGAUUUUGGGGCAGACUGCGGGGUUGUACCCCAAAACACAUACCUCGCAGCUUGCAUAACCAUUUUGCCCUAGUGACAGCCAGCUCCUGGGCACCACGCUUUGGACUUCGGGAUGCAGUAUUCCUCCUUGUGCUCUCAUCUAUGCCCCUCCAGGCUGCUUCCAGUGCAGAGUGAGUGAAAGAGGCCCCAUGCUCCUCCGCAUCCUGCACGCCACGGCUGCAUUAAAUAAAUACACAGCAGCCCCAGCCCCCUGCCUGGCUCCUGCGAACAACCCGAAGGACUGCUUGCAUGAGAAAGCAAGGCAGGAUUUCUCCCUAAGGGGACAAAGCCUCUAAAUAUGCAAAGCUUUUUAGUAUCCAGAGGGCUUCACUAGGACAAAUUUAUGGUGAAAUGGGGUUGUGUUGUAAUUAUAUUCUACAAGCCCAGUUCCAACUAGCAUUGCUCCAGAGCUGCUGUAGAUGCAUGUUCUCUAUACGGCUGUCCUGCAGCAGCGCUUAGUGCCAGAGCUAAGGGUGGUGUUGACAACACUGCGAAGAUGUUUCCUUGGAGCAGACCAAAGCCACGGUCUGCAUGUGCACAGAGCCGGGGGAAAUGUGAGGAAGGAGGAAUCUGAGGGACUUGUGGCAGAGCCUCAUGGCAUGAGGGUACCUCUGGGGGAAGAGGAUGGUGGAUGCUUCAGCACAGAAGUAAAGAGUUACAGAAUUAAAACUACAAUAUAAGAAGUAGACAGCUUUGGUGAAAGUUUAACACUUUGUUUAAACAGAGUGACAUCCACUGUGAUGCUGCUACUGCUCCACUAGCUGGCUCCUAAAGGAGAACUGUGAAUAUAGACCGGGCUUUAUUUUUUUAAGUGCUCAUUCUCCAUAUAAACGCUGUGGUCCAGUUAUCCCACCAGCAGGGCUUGGACAGCAAAUCACCCUUCUUCACCUGGAUUUAUCCUGCUGUCCCUACCUGCAAAUAGCAAGCAGCAUUGCAUGACCCCUACCGCAUACAGGCCUAGUUAAGCUGUUUUUUUUCUCUCUUCUUGGACGUGACUUAGAAAGGAUGUAAUUCCUUGACACUUAUGCAGCAGCCAGUGAAUGUGACCUGGGGCAGGCAUCUUCCCCGUGCUGUCGUUGCACAAGGGCAGCCGUGUUUCAUCUUGCACUUCUGCUUCUUGACUUAGUUCCCUUAUUGUUGUGCUGCAACAGUGGCUAGGUACAGUGGAUGGAUGUUUCCCAAAGCACAAACCCUGCAGUGACACGUUUAUAAUCAAAAGCAAAGAAGCGAGAGAACAGCAGAGAUAAGAGGCAGGAGGUAAGGAGUGUGAGGCUUUAGGGAUAAGGCGGUGGAGCAGAGCACAGUUUCAAAGUAAUUGGAUCCGCUAAUGUUGGAGUUUUGUGCAGGAAUGUACAUCUGUUUCUGAACUGUUACCAGCUGAUGUGCCCGUUCUUCCUUUCUGCUUUCUUGGAUAUAAAGCCCCCGAGCAGCAGAUCAGCAUACAGGGGAGAAGGAGAGGCUGACCUCGGUCCAGAAAAUAGAAGGAGAAGGACAUACACAUGCACUAAUGAGUUGUACAUCUCCUAGUUCCCAUCCCCUUAUGAAGCCGAUAGCUCUGCCCAAGCUUUGAUCAAGCACAUGGAUCACAAGAGCCGUUUGCCCUCAUCAUGCUUUCUCAAGAGCGAUGCUUCCAAAAGCAUAACUUAGCUCUCACAUCCCUCCUGCAACACUCCGAAGAACAACCAACCCCAAAUGCUGGACAGAUGUGCACUAUCCAUGGCUACCCAGCCCUGCAUCUCCCAAAUACUCGCCUUUUGUCUUUCUUUCUCUCAGACUAUAAAAAGUUUGCUUUAUUUGCUGUUUACUGUCCCAGGACAGACGGUCUGCAGUGUAAUAAUGAUGGAUGCAAAUCAUGAACAACUUUCAGAAACCGUGACGGCCCUGUAAUUUGUAGGUUUUCUGUUUGGGGCCUGGUUUCUGCAAAGCACUACAGUGCGCUUCGGAAAAGAGGUUUGCGUCUGAGUCAGCUCCUGUGGAACACAUGCAGGUGUGUACAGUUACAUACAUGCUGAAUUUCUGAUCUGAAUACCCUCUGAAAUAACAAAAGAGAUCUUCAAUGGAUUCGACAGACCUUGGAUGAGGGACUGACACACUGCACUGUCAGACAGAGGGUAAUUUCACAGCUCCUGGUAGUCCAUGCUCCAUUGUCAGUGGGACAGGGAUAAUUCAGACCAGAUCCAGUUCUGCCUUGAACACUUGGUUCACUGUUUCAAGUCUGAUUGCCUUUUGCUGGCAAGAUUAGAAAUCUGCAUAACUUCUCAUGUCAGUAGUGUUGCAAAGAUAGUGUGCGUCCUGCUGUAGGAAGAAACCAAAACGCAGUGGCAAUGCAAUUGUGGAUUCUAAUUUUAAUGACAGUGCAGAGCAAAAAAAGAACCAGCAUUUGGGGGAGUAAAAAGUAGUAGCUAUCACGAUUCCAAAAAUAACAUUUCUAUUUUAGAUCAUUUACCCGAGGCCACCACUAAUUGCAGAUCAGAGUGGAACGUCUCUCUGGAAAUCCACAGGGAAGACAGUUUUUUUUCCCUCUUUUUGGAAGGUGAAAUAUUAAUUGUGGCUGCUGCAGCAAUAACUGUAGCUUAAAACCUGGGUUAGGAAAAAUGAAAAUAUUUUUUCAUGAAGUGGAAAAUCAAAGCAUGUGAAGUAUUUUGUUCUGCUGGCCUUUUCUUCCCACAUCUCUAGGCUCAUUAAAAUGGGGAGAAAGGACUUCCCACCAAGAGAGAAUCCAAAACCAAUCUGGCUGUUCCAACAGUGUUCAGAUGAUGCUGAAGGGUUCAGGCUUUGUUUAUUUUUUGGGUUGCAACACCCACUUCGAGGCAGGUAUAUUCAUAGAAACAUCACGGUUGGCUUCUGAUAUUAUUGAUAUUGCUUGAUAGCUUCUCCAGCUCCAGAAAAUUGAUUCAGAGUUUGCUCCUGAGAUGAAACUUUGGUUGACUUGAGCAGUUCAAAAUGCAGGUUACUGUCUGGGAAAAAUCUGGCCAGGCUGGUGCUAGUACAGAGAGACCGACCCCAUCUCCCUUUCCAGGCCAUGGAGAGAGGGACUGUCCGUUCUGGAUUACAAAAGAUGCCUGCAGAAGCUGACUGCAUCAGGUCAGUCCUUUGCUGUCUUCUUUGAUGUGUGAAACCCCUUAAACAAUGCAAGGAAGGCACUGAUCCCAUGAAGAUUUAAGGCUUACUUUUUCAGCCUUCUUCCACAGACCUCUCUGAACAGGUCAGCAGGAUCCCAGUGUGACAACCAAGAAAAAGUCCAAAGUAUUGUUGCUGGUACUCCUGAACUUCAGUAUUUUUGAGGAUUAACCAUAGUCUUUGAAGGCUACGUCAUGGAGGAUGUGUGACGUGCCUUCUUGUUGCCAGCCAGAGAGAAUCAAGAAUUGCCUUCUAACGGCACAUUUGUGCCCCCAAAAAUUACAUGACAUGCAGAAAGGCAGAUCCAGAAGUAGCUUUGUUUGCAUGGAUGUAUAACUCUAUGAAUAUGCACACAGUGAGGAGGGAUUAAUUGCCUGAACUUUAGCCAAACAGAUUUUAUCUGUUCAGGCUACCUCUAGAAUUUAACCACCAUCAUCUGGCAGUGCAGAUUUUGGGUAGAAGGGAAGCCAAAACAAUGGACUUGGACACAGAAAGAUAUUAGAAAUCUCUGCCUGGAAGAGGUGAACACCUCCCAGGAUGCUGGAUGCAUCUGCUGGUGGCCUUAACACAGCCCCAGAAACAUCUGGGCUGGAGCCCACUAGGACUUGGGGAAUUUUCAGAAUUUAGAAAAUUCCAAUUUUGAGUGUAAGGGUGAAACAAGAGGAAACUUUUUAAUAUUUCUGAAGUGUAGAAAGCCAAAUUUUUGUGAAGAGAAUAGGUUCAGUUAAGCCUUUUGUAGUCUUUUGGCGAGCUCUGAACUCUACCUUGGCUUUACUAAUAUGUGAGCUUGUAAACCCUCAAGCCUUCCUCUGCCCGGAUAAAAACAGGCAACAUCUGUCCUCACUCCUCAUCCCCCUACACCAUCAUUGUCCAAUCAUUUCUUCCAGGGUUUAAGCCAGAAUUGAGUCCGUGUAUCACACUGCAUGUGUCUUCUGGCUAAGGGAGACUGGACAGUUCAUUAGCAGUGAUUGUUGAUGGGUUGGAUGGGUCACUGCUGAGUGGCAGGUCAUUCAUCAUGGAUCCCAAUGGUAAAAGUCCCACCUUCAAAGUGUUCCCACUCCCAAUCAAUGCGGUAGUGGUAUCCUAGAGACGGGAUCUUGGUUUCCUGUACCAGAAAGGAAGAUUUCUACCUGUCAGGUCUUUGGCAUCACUGGACCAACUCAAGAAACUGGGCUGAACCUCCCCUAAUAUUCAUCCACUUUAAAGAGAAACUUCGACCUUCUGCCUCAGUGGUUAUAGAGGUUGCUUUGAGCCAAAACACAGCUGUUCUUCCAUGCUUUGAUGGAAAAAACAAAUGCCUAACCUCUUCCCUUUCCUGGAAACUCUGCUCAAAAAUCAUAUUCACUCUUCCUUUCUUAUUCAUCUCUUUCAACCACAUUUUAACUUUUUAUUUUGUUCUCUCCCAACAGUACUUCUCCAUGUUCUCUGUGCAGCUUCAGGUAUUAGCAACAGUCCCACAGCAGGAGGGCAAAAUACAUGUUUAUUGCUUUUGGUCUGAAGAAUAUGAGCCUAACUCAUAACUGUGGAAGAGCUGUGGCUCACACUCUGAGAGGGUUGAUGAUGCUGUUGAAUCUCUUCUGUGGUUUAGUGUCUAAGAUCUGGUAAGGAUACCUUCAAUAACCAAUUAAAAAUUCAAGUAAGCUGGAGAAGGUCUCUUUUUUUCCUUGCUUUCAUGUAUUUAAAUGGCCAAGAAGAGGGAAGGGGUAUUACCUUGUAAAACCCUGUGGAUGGCUGCUGAAUGUCUCACCAACUAAAUAAACAAAAAUCUGACAGAAUUAGUCAUAGAGGGAAAAAAAAUUGUUUGACUUUCAAACAGAGCAACAUUUCAUGAAGCAUUCCUUAGAAAGUACAAUUUAUUUUGGAAAACCAAGCACCCUAACUCUGACCCCCUUACCUCUAUGUGCUUCAGUUUAGUAUCCUUGUGUCUCCAGCUACUAACAAACCACAGCAGCUGAGUAGGAAGAGGAUUGCUGUGUCCACGGUUGCAUGUCCACAAAUGGAAUGGACAUAAAAAGCCAAAAAGUAUUACUUUUAAUCCUACAAGCCUAUUGGACUGCUGUACCUGAUGAAACUGCUUACCUAUCAGUUGAUUUGUCUUUCCUUUGGUAAUUCAUUUACUGCUGAAAAGUUGAAAUCUUCUACUGGGAAAAGAAAAAAAAAAGAAACACAUCUCACUGAGUGGCUAUACUUGGAACACCAGACAAGACAUUCAACCAAAACUGCUCAGCUGAGGGGGAACAUUAUUUUUCUUAGUCUGAUUAAAACAACUUCUUUUUCUUUGUCUUUACUAACACCUGUUUGUCUCAAGCACCUGAAUAAACUUUGAGGAGGAAAGAUAGCUUUUUUAAAGACCCAAGUGGACCUCCACAGAUCAGGUUCCACUUUUGGAAUCCUCCACAUAUCCAUGGGAAACCAAGCUUGGCAUUCCUAUUGAGAUCUGUUGAGAAAAAAGCCCAAGCAUUUCUUUUGAAAACAAUUAGAUGACAAACUCUCAACCUAAACAAACAAAACCUCAGAAGGUUUGUAGUAUUUAAAACAAGCAGUCAUAAAAAUAAAGAAAUUAGUGGCAGUGGUUCGUUUUCUCAAGAGUAACAACCUCUAUCUGUGUAGACCACGUUGUCUGUUGGAGUAUCCUGAAUGACAUACCAAGUCUUCUUGAUCUAGAUCUGGUUGUAAAUAUGCUUGCUGUGUUAGGAUCAGCUGGUGGAAUGUGGUGCUCCAAUAGUACUGUAAGAAGUUGAGUUCUGAUUUUUCCAUUGCAGCUGUGCGUAACCUACCUUGAGUAUCUCAGAUGAGAAGUAACUUUCAGCAAUGUUCCUUUUGGUGAAGCUGUAAGAUGCAUUGCAGGGCUGGAUGCACCAGUACACUCUACAGGAUGGGUCUCGUUUCAGUCUCUGAGCAUGAGAACGACAUCCUCUGUGGUCAGCAUCAAGCAUGUAAGGCAUUAUGCUAAAGUCAAGAAGGUAAUGCAUGUGCUCAGAUUCUCUCCAGGAGCAGCCCCUGUGUAGGAGACAUGGGCAGCACUGCAGCCUUAUGGAUGUCAUCUAAAUUCCAUGGUAUCUAAUCACAGAAUCACAGAAUUGUAGGGGUUGGAAGGGACUCCCAGAGAUCAUUGAGUCCAUCUACCCGAAAUAUUUCAAUUAAAAAAAUAGCACUGCAAGGUAGCUCUUUGCCACGGGGAAGAAUACCACAGCCCCUUGUGGAUUGCAAAGUAUUACAUUUUCCUGCAUUUUUCCUCAAGAAUUCUUUUAACUUGCAUUUAAUUGUUGAAGGAGGAGAGCUAUAAAAUAUACCUGUCUUCAGCCUGCACUUCCCCCAGAUUUUUCAUUAUCAGUUGAGCUUUGUGACUUCUUUUUUUUUCCUGGCAUCAAUACUACUGUGAUGUUUCAUUUCCUUCUAUUUUGCACUUUUGGCAAAGAUAAAGUUUACUGUCGUUUCACUACAUUAUCUAUCAGGUGACCUGGAGUCUGAUCCACAACUUGCAAAGUCAGCAGAAAAUUUUAUGUUGCUCUCAGCAGGCUUUACAGCGACCUUUAAUAAUUCUGGCCUCCCAAGGGAGCUGAAGUACGAAUCCAGUAGGCAUUUGUCGUAUCUCAGUCUACUAAACGGCCAAUAAUACCUUGCAAUAUUUUUGUAGGCCUUUGAUCCAUCUCUGUUGCCUGAUUGUGCUUUGAAGACUUAAUAGUCCCCCAUAUCCCGCACUUAUUAAAUUCAAAUUCUCCAGUUGCACUUCCCUGGAUGAUACAUAAAAAUAACACAUGGAGGAAAUAUAACUGGAAGAUCCUUUCUAUAAGAUGGCUUACAUUUCAUUCGUGGGGAAGACAUUGAAACCAUUGCUUUUGUGCUCGUGACAGAACCCAUCUGUAGAAUUUAGAUAUAGUGGAGUGUAUCUGAAAAAGCAAUAAUAGGCCAGGGAGUUGUGUGUUGGCAUCAAAGCUUCAAUUUUCAGUGUGCUGCUAGGCAGCCUUUCAUUUAGAAAGAAUUAGCAGUAGAGGGACCUAGCUGAGCUGCAGACGUUACCGCUGGCUCCAAGAAUAGAUGGUUGUAGUGGGAUUUUAGGGUAGUUUUAUCAUGACUGGGACAUGGUUAUUUCAGGGGUCUGAUAAGAAUUCCACUGAAGACUCCCAGAGUUGCUCAGUUGUCUAAAAGGAAUGGGUGAAGCACUGAGGUAAGUCAUUUUCUUGAGGAUGAUGGCGAAUAUAAUGGGAGAUGCAGCCAACUGGAGGUAGAGCCAAUCUCAGCCAAGCAGGAGGACAGCUGGUCUGUCAACUGCUGAAAGAACUGGGGCAGUCCCUUGGAGAACCUCCAGUCUGCUAGGACCCUUUAUCAGCAGGAUGGUAAGGAGCUUCUUCAAGGGGUUUUAAUCUGUGAGCCUGCUAUGGCAGACAAGCCAGCAUGGCUUCCUGUCGUCUGGCUCUCCCUGUGCUCUGGUUUAAUCUCUUGAUGACUUGGCACAUAUGGGUUGUAGAUGGCAUUACAGGGCUGCCUUCGGGGACUGCACCUGGGGACAUGGCUACUGGGAAAGGAUGAAAUCACUCAUUUAGACUGCUCAAGUGAUUGUGACUUUGCCUAAUGAAUCUGCAAGGAUUUAUUCUCCCUAUCAGUCACCCUAUGAUGUCUCACUCUGUUUCUCCAGAUCUCCUUGGUUGUCUUGUCUUCUUUGUGUAGUAGGGACAGCACGGAUCCACAGUAAGACCGGGGAAAUACUAUUAGUCACACUUUAUUUUCUGGCACCACACCAGGAGACAGGUCAGACAUUUAUAAUAAAUUCCAGUGAAGUCAACUCAUUUCCAUACAAAGUCCCCUGCAAGCAUGAAGCUACACACAGAAAUGUGAACAGUCAUCAGACCUCACCUCCAUUAAACCAUGUUCUCCUUCAGAAAGCUCUUCCCUCACCCUAAGUCUGAAGAGAACCAAGAGCUAGGCCGCUCCAGAAAUGAGAUGGAAGAAGAGCACUGAACCUGGUUCAGCCUUACUUCAGUAACAAGACCCAAGGAGCUAACAAAGAGACAGGAUCUCCACUUCAACACCACUAAAAGCACAAGCAGCACUUUCUCAGUGGUGGGGUGGUGGAACACAUACCUUGCAGCUCAUGAGGCAAAGCUAGAGAUGUCAGUGUUUUGCUACAUGUUUUACAACCAGAGCUCAGUGAUAUUUUUAGUGGAAUCUGAUUUUUUUUUUUUUAUGAUAGCACAUGCUGCUGUUUUGAUGAAAAAAUGAUAAGGAGGACAAAAAGGAAAAAAAAAAGUUGAAAAUUAAAUAACUUGUUUUCAAGGAAGUUAAGAACUAUCCAAAGGAAGUUUUCACAAGCACAAGAAAUCUGAUUUGGGGGAAAGCAGGAGGCCGCAGGCAUCAGUGCUCACUGCUGCUAUUGCAAAAGAAGAAUCCUCUGACCUCACAGAUAGAUGGAAUAAUUUUUCAAACUUCGAAGUGUGACUGCUUUGUUUUGUUUUGUUUUGUUUUGUUUAAUAUAGUCUUCUUUCUCUGUGCUUUUGUGGAGAAAGAUGGAAGGAGAUUUUGAAGUGGAAUCUUUGUAGGGUGGGGUUUGCUACCACAAAGGUGCAUAGAAACAUAGCAUACAAUGACCACCUAUUAGCCCUGAGUGCCCUUCCCUAAAUCCUUUUGUCACUAGAUGAAGGCUUUUAAUGCAGGAACUUUCUCGAGGGUGUUGAUGCCAUAGUGGUCAAUCCAGCUGCAGGCAGCAGUAGGCAGACUGCAUUUCUCCCAGCACACAUGGGGUAAAACUCCCCAUGAAUGCAGUGGGAGCAGUGUGAGUCCAGAGCAGACUGAUUUAGCAAUUUGCAAGCCAACAUCUGUCAGGCACUCAGCAGAGAUGAAUAACAAAGUCAGACUGGAGCAGACAUAUGACGAAAUCCUUCCACGUGGAGGGAAAGGGAAGGGGGAGGGAGAUGGCAAUCCAACGUGUGCUAAUAUUUUCAUUAUAACGUGAAGCGUAUCAGUAACACACACACGUGAAGCUAUGGAAAUGUGCAGAAUAUUGUUGUGCCAUAUGUUUUAAAUAUCAUUAAGCAGGCCAGUUCUGUCGUAUAUUUGAUAUUUUGGCUGUUGUCACUAAAAAUGGACCCACUAAUUCAUAUGGAAUAUGAAUUGGCCUUGAACGCUGCCUAAUCACUGACCCAAAGAGAGUUUGCAAAAUGCAUUUCUAACCUGAGAAACGAUAGGCUGAAUCUUGUGCCGUGGGAGGAGACCAGUUGGUCGGACACUUGACCCAGAUACAAAUCUCUUGGGUUAAAAAUAAAGAGACAGUUGGAUAGCAGGGAUCAAAACACGUCGCUGAUAAGAUUUGUUUAGCCUUAUUUUGGUUUUGCUGGAAAAGACAUCUCGGGCAAAAAUUUAGAUAGCUUUUCACAAGUUCUAUUUUUCUGUGUUUUCCCAUCGGUGUCUCAAAGCAAAGAGGAAGUAGUGAAAUGCUGAUACAUUUUUUAGUUUGGUAAUUGAAGUAAAAUUUAUGUUUUCUUUCGGUUUUCCAGUAAAGGGAACGAUGAAAUUUGAAACAUGGAGAUCUUCCUUAUUGUGUUUUUAUUUCUUACCUCUUAAAAGGAGGGAAGCCCACCCGAAUCCUCAGCCUUUUUCAUAAGGAGCAUCAUCCCCACUUUUGAAAUAGCUACAUAAAAGCCUCCCAAGCUUAGAAUAAAACAAGGGGAAUAACAGAUUCAUUCAGACCUUUGCUUUACUCCUGUUUGGUUUUUUGUUCGGAAGGAUCUCCAAGUCUGCAGAAGAGGGAUAGAACAGAGGAAAUCAGCGAGAGGCAGCGGAAAGCACUCAUGCAUGACAGAUCCUUUCCCCUCUUAUCUCCACCUCUUGGAAAUGAAAUUGAAUUCAUGUAGAGUUUCAAAUGAAAGCACCACACAAGGGUUUUUUGAGGGGGUGGGGAGAUCUGCUUGCUGGUCUGGCCAGACCCAGUUUUAAUUUGCAGAAUGUGAGCUGAGACCUGAAUAUCUUGCAGGACUCCUUCCUGUUCCCACAUCUGUGCCAGCAAUUGGACUCUGCAGGAAGAUUUUGGUUAUCAUGGGAAGGCGGGAGCCAGAGGGUGAUACAGCUCCCUGUCUCAGAGUGAUCCCAAAUCUGCAGCUCCAGCACACACAUCCGCAUAGGAGUUGGCAGCAACUAUGACUCAGAAGGUGCUGUUUUUACAGACACUUUGCUGGCUACAAAGUCACUGUGAGAGUUUGCAAAACAGAUAUGUGAGGAGAGCUGCCUUUUCCCAAAAGAAAGAUGCUUGCUGGGAAUCAGGCUACCACCAGUUUACUUUCAGAUUUGCUCUUCUUUAGUGCCAUCAGUUAGAUCAUUUCUGAAGCCUAAGACUCAAAGAAGUGAAGAGAGGAAGAUGGUGUGGAUUGCCUCCAGCCUUUAGUCCCCUAAACUCAUGUCUAGAUCCCUGCUUCUUUUUGUCUCACCAGCUUCUGAUCAGAGACAACAAUGUAAGGUAGAAUCAUAAAGGCUGGAAAAGUCCUCUAUGACCCCCAAAUCCAACCCCAACCCAACCCCACCAUGCCCAGUAACUAUGUCCCUCAGUGCCACAUCCCCACAGUUCUUGAACACCUCCAGGGACGGUAACCCCACCAUCUCCACGGGCAGCCUGGCUAUACAAUACCUCUUUCUGAGAAGAAUUUUUUUCUAAUAUGCAACCGGUUGUGCAUACAAUGGGAUUGAGGUGUGCAAAACAUGUAUCGUUCAUGGUGAGACUUCACUUGUCCUAAUCUUUAGGCUCUGCAUUGAUCAGUUGGGCUGAUCAGUAAUAAAAUUCUCUGAGAGUCAUUUGUUUUGCCUGCUUAUGUUUCAUUUUAAAGGGAAGGGUUAGGUGCAGGAAGUACCAAGAGACCGAAACUGGGGAUGCACAACAACCCUUCUGAGGGCAAAACCGAGGUUCAAAACCUGGGAUUGGCCAAACCACUUUGACAUGAUGAAAAGUCAGGCAGGCCUCCUGGGAGCCCUUAGUGCUCUUCACUGCUAUAAGUACACGUUUAAAGGCUUAAAGCCAACCAUCGUGGUAUGAUCACUUUGACCUCCUGUUUACGGUAAGCUCUUACGCUUUAGCUCUUAUAUGUGUUUAGGGCUCACUGGUGUUGACCUAAUCUUUUUCAGUUCCCAUCUGUUUCUUUUCCUUCUUUCAAACUUUACACAUUUCCCCACGCCAUUUUUCAUUUAAUCCUUUAAAAAAUACUCCUCUCAUCCUCCAGCAAAAAGAAAUCAGGAUAAAAGGCAAAAUCACCAUCUCUGAAUUAGGUUCUACCCAUCCCUGAGAGGGUAAAGGAUGAGAGGGAAAAGUGGUUGAGGAGUGUAGCAUGUCUUGGUUCAGAGAUUUUGAAAGAUCCUGAGUCUGCAACUUCUUCUCAUAGUCUGAUUACUCUUGAAAAAAGUACAUUUUAUUCCCAUUUCAUGGACAUCAGGUCUAGGGGGUAAAUUUGCCCCAUGAAGCUGCUUGUACUGGUCUCCUGGCUGUCUAAGAGUCAUGAGUUGUCCCAUUACCACUGAGUGCCAUGGUGGAGGAAUGGGGCCAGAACAGCCAGGUUGUUACUGUGGUGCUGCCUCAGUCUGUAAAUCAUCUGCCAACACCUCUUCACUCUCACAAGCUGGUUUCAAGUUGACAAAUCUGUUGCCGGUGAUGGCCCAGUUGCAUUUCAAUGUCCCUGCAAGGUCCCUAGUGGAUGACGGCACUUCCGUUGUGAUGGAGAUGGUUCACCCAGCUCCAUUUUGAGUCACUGUACAGUCCAUGACUGCAUUUCAGGCCACUUACCAAAUGUGACAAAAGCAAUUCUGGCUCCUUUGCUGCAGUGACUCACAAGGACAAGGUUUUUAAGAUAUUAAGUCCCAGGAGAGGGGCCAAGAGAGUUCAGAUGCUGCCUGCAUCACAGUUGCUGUCCCUGCCCUUCUCCAUGUCAUGUUUACAUAUCAGCUGGAAAUUUCCUAAAUAAGUUGACUCGAACCAUCAACAAAUACCGUUCAGAUAAUGCACAUUUCAUGGUAUUUUCCAGAACUCUGCCCACAGGAGGAUAUAAAAACUUCUUUUGUUAUAGUAUAGCCUCCUUGGCAGCUUGUAACUCAGUGGGAAAGACUCUGGAUUCCUGGAGGAGCUUACUGUGUCAGCAAUUUUGAGUAUUUCAGGGAGCAUGAGGCCUCACUGGAGAGAAAGGAAAGCCUGAGCAAAACACUGCUUUCCUUUAAGACGAACCGGUAAUCAAAUUAGAUAAAAAAUCACAGUGAGCUAGUAAAGGGUGUGAAAAGACAGUCUCUAUCCACAGAAUUGGUGGGGUUCUAUAGGAAAUAGGAACUCUGCCAAUUGUCUACUGAGUGUGUGUCUGUGUCCUAUUUCAUUUCAAAAUGAAAGCUCAAGGCUUCUCCCAAAACUUUUGUUGGUUUAGCAAGGUGAAUGUGGAGGUAGCAUCCACCACUGGCUGUGCACAGUGCAGAAGGGAAUAUCCUUGUGUGGGGACACUCUGGGGACUUUGGUCCAUGGGCUACAGCCAUACAGUGAUCUGUCUUCUUUCUGAGACAGCCCUAAAGGUGACCUCACCCAGGAUUUCUUUCAUCCCGAGGGCUUUCCAUGCUUGGUUUUCCUGAAGAAGCUUUAUAUUUUCAAGGGGGAUUUUUCUUUGAAAGCAGGUGAUCCAAGCAAAAGGUUUAAAUGGGUUAAAAUUUUCAAGGAAAAUUAUUCCCCCAGCCAAACAGAUUUUUUGCACUGACAAAAGUUUUUUUCCUGAAAAUGAUCUGCUUUUCUUAGAAAUUAGAGUUCAUCUUUAGAAUAAUCUCUAAGGACUGGAAGGGAGGUCAAUUUUUUUUUUUUUAAUUAAAAUCAUUGCAAACCUGUUACUGAAAAUCUAAUCCUCAAGUAAUUAUGGAUUUUCCCCAUUUUUUUAAUAGCAAAUCUAUCCAGAACCUUGUUCUCUGCUUUAUAUGCUCUCACCAUCUCUGUAAAACACAGUACAGAGUUCAUGUGCUCAGUCAUGAAAUGCAUCACAUGGUUUUGCUACUGAUUAUUCAAUAGAAUGGCUUAAAUUUUGAUUCCUCAUUGAAAAAAAAAUCAACGACAUUUCCACUUUCCUUCUCCCCCCCCCUACACUGCUUUGAACAGGAAAAGUGUCUUUUCAGACCAAGGCUGGUAGGCUGGAGGGUUAGAAUAUCCCAAGUUGGAAGAGAUCCAUAAGGAUCAUUGAGUUGUUGGGCAGGUGCUGUGUGUGUUCACUGAAGAAAACUUUGGCAAUGUAGAAAAGCUUUCAUAAAAGUUGAAAGACAUGAGGUUUGUUUGGGUUUUUUUUUAACAUUAUUUUU